AUGAGGAUGGGGUUAAGAAUCAGAAAUGAGGACCACAGAGAAGACGGGUUAAAGAGAAGAACAAAGACAGAAGCUCCUUCGAGACGAGAACCACCGGAGAGGUUCGAAUCGGCGGAAUUCCAUCGAAGAAAGAGAGAGGACGAAAUUUUGGCGAGAGUUAAGGUCCGGCCGUCAGUAGUUGAGACAAAGAUAUAUGGAGGGAGUUGCACCGCCACAGAGAGAUUGAGAGCAGCGAGAAGGAGGUGA